rnacentral:rRNA from 1 species
CCUACGGGAGGCUGCAGUAGGGAAUCUUCCGCAAUGGACGAAAGUCUGACGGAGCAACGCCGCGUGAGCGAAGAAGGUCUUCGGAUCGUAAAGCCCUGUUGUUAGGGAAGAACAAGUACGGGAGGAAAUGACCGUACCUUGACGGUAACUAACGAGGAAGCUACGGAUAACUUCGUCCCAGCAGCCGCGGUUAUACGCAGGUAGCAAGCGAUGUCCGGAAUCAUUGGGCGUAGAGCGCGCGCCGGCAGUCUUUUAAGUCUGAUGUGAAAUCUUGCGGCUCAACCGCAAGCGGUCAUUGGAAGCUGGGAGACUUGAGUGCAGAAGAUGAAAGCGGUUUUCCACGUGUAGCGUUGAAAUGCCUAGAGAUGUGGAGUAACGCCAGUGGCGAAGGCGGCUUUCUGUUCUGUAAUUGACGGUGAGGCGCGAAAGCGGGGGGUGCAAACAGGAUUAGAUACCCGUGUAGUC